rnacentral:rRNA from 1 species
CCCGCUGAACUUAAGCAUAUAACUAAGCGGAGGAAAAGAAACUAACAAGGAUUCCCUCAGUAACGGCGAGUGAAGCGGGAAUAGCUCAGACUGAAAACCUUCGGGAAUGUGGUCUGCAGAUGAGACAUCGAAUCUUCGGAAGCUGAUAAAGUGGUCUGGAAUGACCCGCCGUGGAGGGUGACAGCCCCGUUCGUAUCAGUGGAAAGAGUAAGUAGAUGCUUAUCAACGAGUCGAGUUGUUUGGGAUUGCAGCUCAAAGCGGGAGGUAAAUUCCUUCUAAAGCUAAAUAUCGAUAGGAGACCGAUAGCAAACAAGUACCGUGAGGGAAAGAUGAAAAGCACUUUGAAAAGAGAGUGAAAUAGUACGUGAAAUUGCUGAAAAGGAACCGCUGGGAAGCAGUGUGAUGGGCGUAGAUUUAUCUAUGCCAUAUCAAGUGAGGCUUGUUUCGAUGGCAAGGGAAAAGGUCUGUUCAUUCAGUCACCUGCCGAGCUUCGGAAUGACUCUCACGAAAUGCUUCUCAUCAACCCGUCUUGAAACACGG